rnacentral:rRNA from 1 species
CAAUAGCGUAUAUUAAAGUUGUUGCAGUUAAAAAGCUCGUAGUUGGACUUCUGAUGUGGAGGGACGGUCCGCCUCACGGUGAGCACUGAUUCUUCGAGUCUUCCUCUCGUAGUUGUUUGGCGCACUUGAUUGGGUGCCAGAUGAAUAUGGGACCUUUACUUUGAAAAAUUAGAGUGUUCAAAGCAGGCAAUCGCUUGAAUACAUUAGCAUGGAAUAAUAGAAUAGGACUUUGGUUCUAUUUUGUUGGUUUCUAGGACCGAGGUAAUGAUUAAUAGGGAUAGUUGGGGGCAUUCGUAUUUAAUUGUCAGAGGUGAAAUUCUUGGAUUUAUUAAAGACGGACUACUGCGAAAGCAUUUGCCAAGGAUGUUUUCAUUGAUCAAGAACGAAAGUUAGGGGAUCGAAGACGAUCAGAUACCGU